UAAGCAGACAUUUGUGUUUUUGUUUUGUUGUGUUCCUUUUCUUCAGAAGAGCCUCCCUUGGACCCUCGGGAUACCUCUAGACUCCACCACUUGACUAAAACCAGACCUGAGCUGUGGUUUGUGGUUCAUUAAACAAAUUACCUGAUAGCAAAGAAAUAGAAACAGAGUAGAUGCCUGUUGCCUAGAGAAUGGCUAAAGAAAUUAUGGAACAUGAAGGCUGGGAAGUGACCACCAUGCUGGAGGCUUCUUUCCUUGGAAGGGAAUAUUUAAUUAUUCUUGCCAGUUCCUCUAAGAAUCCUCUUCCAUGAAGACAAAGACAAUGCAGAAAGACCAAGUUCUUGACCAAGCAUGGACUUCAGGACCAGGAAGACUUGAGUCCCAGUACCUCAUCAGACUCAUGCUAGCUGAGUGAGAUUGGAAGUCAUCUACAAGAACUUGGUGACUGCCAACAGGCCCAGCUGCUCAUUACCAGCCUGAAUGAAAGCCAAGUUCAACUUCACUGCCUGCCAAGGGAAGGGAGGAUCCACCUUUGCAGACGCAUCUCCUCACAAAGCCUUCCUAAUUUAGAAAUGGGAGAUCUGUGGUGGCUGGGGCUGAGGGAGACAGCAGCCCUGGGCAUGUUUGUUUUCCCUUACCUGGGAACUCUUAGAACAAUUCAGCCUAGCCCAUUAACCCCACCAACAGAGGGGAAAUGACUACAGAAGAGAAGUUGACUUAGAGUGGGCUUUUUCUCUGUGUAACUGGCACAGAAUCCUGAAAAGGGGGGCGCAGUAUACUGAACGAAACAAGACUAACCCCAAGCCCAUCCCUCUCCAUCCUUCUUGGUGAAGCAAUUCAUACUUUGAUUGCCUGGUGACUUGUUUGGGCAAAAAAAG
rnacentral:lncRNA from 1 species